rnacentral:lncRNA from 1 species
UAGUACAUAUUGGUGAACAAAAUAGAACACUCUUUAUUAAUUGUCAAAUGAAACGAUACAUGUUCACUAAACCCAAAUUCCAACCCUGUCCUUCUAAAUACUAAACCCUAAAUCCUAAUCAAUAAACCCUAAACCCAAGUAUAAACCCUAAACCCAAAUAUAAACCAUAAACCCUAAACUCAAAACCCAAAUCUCAAAAUCUAAUACUGGCCUCAAACUCACUCCUAUUACUCUAAAUACUAAACCCUAAUCACUAAUUACAAAACCCUAAACUCAAAU